rnacentral:misc_RNA from 1 species
UUUCCGUAGGUGAACCUGCGGAAGGAUCAUUCAUAAUAAGUGUUUUAUGGCACUUUUUUAAAUCCAUAUCCACCUUGUGUGCAAUGUCAGGGUUGAUUUUUCUCUCGAGAGGAUCAGCCCCAAACAUCAACUAUAUCUCAACUCUUUGUCUGAAAAAUAUAUGAAUAAAACAAUUCAAAAUACAACUUUCAACAACGGAUCUCUUGGCUUUC